ensembl:lncRNA
GUUAUUGCGAAGCUCGCCGCUCACAAUGGUGGAGAGAAAAGUUGAUUCUGAAAGCAGAGCCUUUCAGCACCAGUGGGAGGCUGAAUAUAUGUUUACAGACAUGCUGGUAAAGCCGUGCGUCUUAUUAGUGGAGCUAAUGUGGCUGUAAGGAAUUUAGUUUAAGACGGCGAGACAAAACGUCAGGAUAAGCUGAAAAACCUAAACGCAGAAACUACAGGAAGUAGAAUCUAACAUUUCAGCAGACGUUUGUCAUCAGAGCAAAACCACAAAGUGAAGCUGUUGUGAAAGCAAGUUUUAUCGUAGCAGAGGAGCCAAAUGAGCCCGGUACCACUCUGAAGAGCUGCAGGAUGAAGCUGUGUGACGUCUUCCGUCCAGACAAAACGCAGAUUUAGGCAAAUGUGAGCCUGAGCAGAAAUACGAUUGCUGAUCGGGUUUGUGAGACAGCCACCGAUUUAAGAACACAGUUGUGUGAAAGAAGCAAAAACUUCACUCCAUACUCUCUUGCUGUGGAUGAAAGUAGACAUGAUGGACACUGCACAGCUGGCCAGCUUCAUCCGUGGAGAGGAAAUAUUGAACAUUAAAUCGAUGCACGGGACAACGACAGGAAAAUACAUUUUUUAAAACGUAUGUCAAAGUGUAACGACGUGAAACUGUCCUGGGACAAACUUGUUGGACUUACAACAGAUGGAGCGCCGGUGCUGUGCGGUGAAAAAAGUAGUCAGCAGGAUGCGAGUAAAGAUGCAGGAGAAAUGUACCGACCAAAUCCCCUGUACACAUAGUGACUCAGAGGAUGAGCAGCCCACAAAAAAAUGGUUUCCCCAGGCCCCUCGAGUGAAAGUACCAGACCUGACGAGAGCUGUUAACGAACUCCGUGAGGAGGUCAGAGCCAUCCGCAAUACCGGCUGCAAUGAAUCGGUAGAUGCUGGGGUACUGCCUCUGGAUUUGCCUUUGCACAACAUUGAGGAGCUAAACAAUGCAGAGCCAGCUCUUCAAUCACAAGAGGCAAAUAAGGCAAUGGUCUCCACUUCAUCAGACAUCACCUAGACUCAGAGCUGGAUGAGGCCAGCACAGACAGCGGCCUAACCGACGAAGAUGAUGGAUCCAUGGUGUCAGGAAAGCCAGAAGCAGGGGAGCUGGAGAGGUACCUUUCAUGUCCAUUCACUGGAGGUGUGGAUCUAUUGCAUGGCGUUCCUCACAUCAAGAAGCUGUUGAUCAAAGUCAAUACAGCUCUUCAUGCAUCUGGAGCUUGUGAAGGACUUCUCAGUCAUGCUGGACUCCUGUUCACUGUUGCUGAAGCUUAACCAUCACCUCACUGAGUGAAGAAAGGGCACAUUUUUGCUAAAUAUGCAGAAAUAGAUGCACACUUAUACAAUUUAUGGUAAACUGAGCUGCCUUGUAUGUACAUAUGAUGAAGAUGCCUCGUUCUGUUUUCUCUGAGGCUGCUGUGCCAUUUGGAGCAAAGACGAAUAUAAAGUUUACAGCAUAUCUUGUCACUGGAAAUUGUUUGCACUGUUUAUAUAUUUAUAUUAUUUACUGCAGGUAUUGGUGAAAAAAGCUUUAUGUUGUGAAAAACUGAAAUCUGGAAAUUAGAAUCAUUGUGCCUUAUUUUGUUGAUGUUUUUACAUAUAUUCCUGUUGAAAAUAGUAAAAUUUGUAUAUUUAUUUAUUUUUGUUUGUCUGGUAACAUUUAUUGAAAAAAUAAAUCGGACAUUUCAAAC